rnacentral:tRNA from 1 species
GCCGAUGUAGCACAGUGGUAGUGCAGCCGAUUCGUAAUCGGCAGGUCACGAGUUCAAAUCUCGUCAUCGGCUUCA